GGUGUCGGCCGUGCUGCUGCUGGAGGCGCAGCCGUGGUUCGUGCCGGUGUCGCCGCCCGCCGGCGAGGUGGAGACCGUCUGCUGGGAGAACACGGCCAUCUUCUUCGUCAGCUCGUACCAGUACCUCAUCCUGGCCACGGCCUUCAGCAAGGGGCCUCCCUUCAGGCGGCCGUUCUACACGAACCGCCUGUUCCUGGCGGCGCUGCUGCUGCUCUCGGCGCUGCAGACGGUGCUGGUGCUGUGGCCCGAGCGUCACCUGGCGGCGCUGUUCGGCCUGGCGCCCAGCCACGCUGACGACCGGCGGCUGCGCUACGGCCUGCUGGCCAUCACCGCCGGGCACUGCGUGCUGGCGCUGCUGCUGGAGACGUACGUGGUGGGCUCCGAGUGGACCAAGCGCCUGCUGCGCCGCUGCAGCUGCAAGAAGGGCCCCAAGAACCGGUACAAGCUGGUGCUGCGCGAACUGGAGGCUGAUUCAACCUGGCCGCCGCUCGGCCAGAAAGUGCUGCGCACCGCCAGCUGACGUCACACCAUGACGUCACGCGGCGGCACGGUCUGCGCGCACACGUGCCUGCGCGCGGCCUGUGCGGCGCUCGCGUGAAUUAGAACGUUUUUAGCUCGGUCGGCAGUACGUGUUUUGGCAGGCUACGGGGGCCCGUCGUGGAUCUCACUCGCCGUGUAAUGGCCUGUCGGAGGGGGACAAUCGCAACGUCAGCACGUGUGGGCGUGGCCGAGCGAUUGGGGCCAUCACUGGCGGCGGUGUCUGCGGAACAAACGCACGAGCCACAACACAGAUGCGCGUAGAGCGCCAGGAUUGCCCGUGUUGUGCUCCGCCUCUCCGGUAACGUCAGUGGAUGUCUGUGAGAACUGAAGCCAGUUGGUGAGGACCGUUGCUGAGGCCAGUUGGUGACCACCACAGCCAGUUGAUGAUGCUCACAAUUCUGUGUUUUGUCUGCUGUUGCGUGUGUUUGGAUGCUGUUGCUCGCAAUAUUUUAAAUGCGUCGGUACUCUGGGCGUGUCCGGACCAGUCUGGGCCCAUUCCGUUUUGUAUCAGGGCCAGGGGCCAUAACACAUCCACCUCAGCUCGCUCUAGCAUUCGCUGACAAUACCAUGCCAAACAGUACCGAGACACGUCGCGCCGCCCAUGUCCCAGCGCGCCGUGACCGUUGGGUUACCCUGACGUCACGUGCGCGUCGGUCGAGUCACGGCCGCGCCCUCUAGGGUCGCUAGUGCCCCGACCACGGCUGCCGGUGGAGGUCGCACCGCCGUGCGCGAUAACAGCCUUUAACUCUGGCCACUGGCCGGCGUGGCGUCCUUGUGAACGGCCACUGUGGAAUGGGAGCGUGCCCCCGCGUCGCGCUUUAACACCAGCUCGCCAGACCGUCCAUUAUCGUGUUCUCUUUUAACACCCAGUUCACCAGGCAG